rfam:Ipomoea nil DNA, scaffold: scaffold3056, cultivar: Tokyo-kokei standard.
GUUGUUGUAGUAUAGUGGUGAGUAUCCCUGCCUGUCACGUGGGAGACCCGGGUUCGAUCCCUGAUAACGGCG